rnacentral:rRNA from 1 species
UACGAAGGGGGCUAGCGUUGUUCGGAGUUACUGGGCGUAAAGGGCGCGUAGGCGGCGCACCAAGUCAGACGUGAAAGCCCUGGGCUCAACCCGGGAAUUGCGCUUGAGACUGGUGUGCUUGAGUACGGGAGAGGAUAGUGGAAUUCCCAGUGUAGAGGUGAAAUUCGUAGAUAAUGGGAAGAACACCGGUGGCGAAGGCGGCUAUCUGGACCGUAACUGACGCUGAGGCGCGAAAGCGUGGGGAGCAAACAGG